AUGCACGCUGGCGGCGUGCCUCAUACAUGCAAGUCGCGCGAACAGACGAGGAGCUUGCUCCUCUGACGUUAGCGGCGGACGGGUGAGUAACACGUGGAUAACCUACCUAUAAGACUGGGAUAACUUCGGGAAACCGGAGCUAAUACCGGAUAAUAUAUUGAACCGCAUGGUUCAAUAGUGAAAGACGGUUUUGCUGUCACUUAUAGAUGGAUCCGCGCCGCAUUAGCUAGUUGGUAGGUAACGGCUUACCAAGGCAACGAUGCGUAGCCGACCUGAGAGGGUGAUCGGCCACACUGGAACUGAGACACGGUCCAGACUCCUACGGGAGGCAGCAGUAGGGAAUCUUCCGCAAUGGGCGAAAGCUUGACGGAGCAACGCCGCGUGAGUGAUGAAGGUCUUCGGAUCGUAAAACUCUGUUAUUAGGGAAGAACAAAUGUGUAAGUAACUAUGCACGUCUUGACGGUACCUAAUCAGAAAGCCACGGCUAACUACGUG
rnacentral:rRNA from 1 species